UUUUCCUUACUAAUGAAAAUAAUGCUAGCGCAUCAUUGUGCUGAAUCUAUGACAGUUUCAAGAACAGAUAAGCAAGCACCAGAAAGACAUACAUUCAAAAAAUCAAUGUAAGAAGGAAAUGAAGAAAGUACAUCCAACGAAAAUGGAGAAAUUGAAUUAAUAAACAAGCGGAUGAAGGCUAUAAACAAAGAUAUCCUGAAAAAGGACUCUUUGAAGGAGGACGUUUGAAAAAGAUAAUAAAAAGGGCCGAUGUAGAAAAGGCGAAGAGGAAAGUAGAAGGCGACCUGAAAUUCACACAGAAAGCCGUUGUCUAUCUCGAGAGAAACAAGAAGGAAAUCGAUCCAUCGAACACCAUCCAAAGACAAUGAAUUGUUGUUUUCAUAUGACGAACUUAAGAAUGAGAUGGUUAACAAUUUGGUUAACAAAUUGCGAAAGCAGAUUAAGGAAUUGCAGAAGCGAAUCGAGGAAUUAGAAGAAGAAGUCGAAGCAGAACGCUUAAAUGAAAAAGAAGAAUAAGUUUGACCAUUUUACAUAAUUUUUGAUAUUUUUUCUUUCUCACAGCACAUUUAUUAAAGAAUUACUGUUAUUUUUGUUCACAAAUAAUGCAAUUAUACAAUAUAGAAGAAAUAAUAUUACUAAAU